rnacentral:rRNA from 1 species
AGAGUUUGAUCCUGGCUCAGGACGAACGCUGGCGGCGUGCUUAACACAUGCAAGUCGAGCGAUGAAACUUCCUUCGGGAAGUGGAUUAGCGGCGGACGGGUGAGUAACACGUGGGUAACCUGCCUCAAAGUGGGGGAUAGCCUUCCGAAAGGAAGAUUAAUACCGCAUAAUAUAAGAGAAUCGCAUGAUUUUCUUAUCAAAGAUUUAUUGCUUUGAGAUGGACCCGCGGCGCAUUAGCUAGUUGGUAAGGUAACAGCUUACCAAGGCAACGAUGCGUAGCCGACCUGAGAGGGUGAUCGGCCACAUUGGAACUGAGACACGGUCCAGACUCCUACGGGAGGCAGCAGUGGGGAAUAUUGCGCAAUGGGGGAAACCCUGACGCAGCAACGCCGCGUGGGUGAUGAAGGUCUUCGGAUUGUAAAGCCCUGUUUUCUAGGACGAUAAUGACGGUACUAGAGGAGGAAGCCACGGCUAACUACGUGCCAGCAGCCGCGGUAAUACGUAGGUGGCGAGCGUUGUCCGGAUUUACUGGGCGUAAAGGGUGCGUAGGCGGAUGUUUAAGUGGGAUGUGAAAUCCCCGGGCUUAACCUGGGGGCUGCAUUCCAAACUGGAUAUCUAGAGUGCAGGAGAGGAAAGCGGAAUUCCUAGUGUAGCGGUGAAAUGCGUAGAGAUUAGGAAGAACACCAGUGGCGAAGGCGGCUUUCUGGACUGUAACUGACGCUGAGGCACGAAAGCGUGGGUAGCAAACAGGAUUAGAUACCCUGGUAGUCCACGCCGUAAACGAUGGAUACUAGGUGUAGGGGGUAUCAACUCCCCCUGUGCCGCAGUUAACACAAUAAGUAUCCCGCCUGGGGAGUACGGUCGCAAGAUUAAAACUCAAAGGAAUUGACGGGGGCCCGCACAAGCAGCGGAGCAUGUGGUUUAAUUCGAAGCAACGCGAAGAACCUUACCUGGACUUGACAUCCCUUGCAUAGCCUAGAGAUAGGUGAAGCCCUUCGGGGCAAGGAGACAGGUGGUGCAUGGUUGUCGUCAGCUCGUGUCGUGAGAUGUUAGGUUAAGUCCUGCAACGAGCGCAACCCUUGUUAUUAGUUGCUACCAUUAAGUUGAGCACUCUAAUGAGACUGCCUGGGUAACCAGGAGGAAGGUGGGGAUGACGUCAAAUCAUCAUGCCCCUUAUGUCCAGGGCUACACACGUGCUACAAUGGUAGGUACAAUAAGACGCAAGACCGUGAGGUGGAGCAAAACUUAUAAAACCUAUCUCAGUUCGGAUUGUAGGCUGCAACUCGCCUACAUGAAGCUGGAGUUGCUAGUAAUCGCGAAUCAGAAUGUCGCGGUGAAUACGUUCCCGGGCCUUGUACACACCGCCCGUCACACCAUGAGAGCUGGUAACACCCGAAGUCCGUGAGGUAACCGUAAGGAGCCAGCGGCCGAAGGUGGGAUUAGUGAUUGGGGUGAAGUCGUAACAAGGUAGCCGUAGGAGAACCUGCGGCUGGAUCACCU